rnacentral:rRNA from 1 species
UACGUAGGUGGCGAGCGUUGUCCGGAUUUACUGGGCGUAAAGAGCGCGCAGGCGGCCAAGUCAGUCGAAUGUGAAAGCCCCCGGCUUAACCUGGGAACUGCGCUUGUUACUGGCAGGCUUGAGUGUGGCAGAGGGGGGUGGAAUUCCACGUGUAGCAGUGAAAUGCGUAGAGAUGUGGAGGAACACCGAUGGCGAAGGCAGCCCCCUGGGCUAACACUGACGCUCAUGCACGAAAGCGUGGGGAGCAAACAGG